rnacentral:rRNA from 1 species
GCAGCCGCCACGGUAAUACGAGGGGUGCAAGCGUUAUUCGGAUUGAUUGGGUGUAAAGGGUGUGCAGACGGCUUAUUAAGUCACUUGUUAAAUUCUUCGGCCUAACUGAAGGUCUGCAAGUGAUACUGAUGAGCUAGAGGGUGGAAGAGAGAAGUGGAAUUCUCGGAGUAGCGGUAAAAUGCGUAGAUCUCGAGAGGAACACCAAUGGCGAAGGCAGCUUCUUGGUCCAUUCCUGACGUUCAUACACGAAAGCGUGGGGAGCGAACAGGAUUAGAUACCCGCGUAGUCCCUGUCUCUUAUAC